UACGGAGGGUGCGAACGUUUAAUCGGAAUCACUGGCGUAAAGCGCGCGUAGGCGGUUUCGUUAAGUGGGAUGUGAAAACCCAUGGCUUAACUGUGGGCUUGCGGUGGAUACGGGCCGGACUUGAGGUAGGUAGGGGAGAAUGGAAUUCCCGGUGUAGCGGUGAAAUGCGCAGAUAUCGAGAGGAACACCGGUGGCGAAGGCGGUUCUCUGGGCCUUACCUGACGCUGGAGGAGCGAAAGCGUGGGGAGCGAACAGG
rnacentral:rRNA from 1 species